rnacentral:rRNA from 1 species
GACGAGCGCUGGCGGCGUGCCUAAUACAUGCAAGUAGAACGCUGAAGUGAGGAGCUUGCUCUUCUUGGUUGAGUUGCUAACGGUUGAGUAACGCGUAGGUAACCUGCCUUGUAGCGGGGGAUAACUAUUGGAAACGAUAGCUAAUACCGCAUAACAAUGUAUGACACAUGUCAUUUAUUUGAAUGGGGCAAUUGCUCCACUACAACAUGGACCUGCGUUUUAUUAGAUAGUAGGUGAGGUAAUGGCUCACCUAGGCGACGAUACAUAGCCGACCUGAGAGGGAGAUCGGCAAUACUGGAAGUGGGACUAGGCCCAGACUACUACGGGAGGCAGCAGUAGGGAAUCUUAGGAAAUGGGGGAAAGCCUGACAGAGGAACGCCGCGUGAGUGAAGAAGGAUUUCGGAACGUAAAGGACUGUUGUAAGUAAAGAACGGGAGUGAGGGUGGAAAGUUCACACUGUGACGGUAGCUAACCAGAAAGGCACGGCUAACUACGUG